rnacentral:rRNA from 1 species
UACAGAGGUCCCAAGCGUUUGUUCGGAUUCACUGGGCGUAAAGGGUGCGUAGGUGGCCAGGUAAGUUCGGUGUGAAAGCUCGGAGCUUAACUCCGAAAUGGCAUUGAAUACUAUCUGGCUAGAGGGUCGGAGGGGAGACUGGAAUUCUCGGUGUAGCAGUGAAAUGCGUAGAUAUCGAGAGGAACACCAGUGGCGAAGGCGAGUCUCUGGACGACUCCCUGAACACUGAGGGC